rnacentral:rRNA from 1 species
UACGAAGGGGGCUAGCGUUGCUCGGAAUGACUGGGCGUAAAGGGCGCGUAGGCGGAUGGCAUAGUCAGAUGUGAAAUUCCCGGGCUUAACCUGGGGACUGCAUUUGAUACGUGUCGUCUUGAGUUCGGAAGAGGGUCGUGGAAUUCCCAGUGUAGAGGUGAAAUUCGUAGAUAUUGGGCGGAACACCAGUGGCGAAGGCGACUCACUGGCCCGAUACUGACGCUGAGGCGCGAAAGCGUGGGGAGCAAACAGG